rnacentral:rRNA from 1 species
UGGGGAAUAUUGCACAAUGGAGGGAACUCUGAUGCAGCGACGCCGCGUGAACGAAGAAGGCUUUCGAGUCGUAAAGUUCUUUUAUAUGGGAAGAUAAUGACGGUACCAUAAGAAAAUGCCCCGGCUAACUACGUGCCAGCAGCCGCGGUAAUACGUAGGGGGCUAGCGUUGUCCGGAAUCACUGGGCGUAAAGGGUUCGCAGGCGGAAAUGCAAGUCAGGUGUAAAAGGCAGUAGCUUAACUACUGUAAGCAUUUGAAACUGCAUAUCUUGAGAAGAGUAGAGGUAAGUGGAAUUUUUAGUGUAGCGGUGAAAUGCGUAGAUAUUAAAAAGAAUACCGGUGGCGAAGGCGACUUACUGGGCUCAUUCUGACGCUGAGGAACGAAAGCGUGGGUAGCAAACAGG